GCAGGGCUUGGCCGGACAGCCGUGCUGACCUUGGCUUGGACUAGCUCACACACCUGCUCCGUGGGUCUCCCAUCAUUCUAGUGGACCCAGUGGGCAGCCCGGAUAUGUUCUUCUCAUGUCAAUGGCAGAGGCAGGAGAGCAAGGAAGCCCAGCCAAUUCAACUAGAGAGAAAUUGAGAAGAAGCAUCCACUGAAGUAUCACAUGGCUUCUUAGAAUUUAUUACACAUUGUUAUUGGGUCACAGCAUGUGAAAACAUGGAGACCGAGAAUACAGAACUGUGUGGAAGUGAAUGAGUCUGCCACCUCUCCUUGUACCUAUCCAGUGUGAAACAAGGCCGUUCAUGCACACGUUACUAUAAAUGCCCUGGAGGCCUUAUGAAUAAUCAUUGGAGCAGUAUCUGCUGCAAGAUAACAUUGUGCUUUAUUUUUGCCUUUAAGUAAAAGGAAUCUGAAAUGAAACACUCUUCAUUUCAGAUAUAAAUCAGCCCCAUAAACUUGAAGCUAACCAGAGAUCCUGAGGCAUUCUCAUUACAUGAAGUAAUUGGUUGGUUGCAAGACUCAAUUGUACUGCAAAGUCUUCCUGAGAAUUCAGAUGAGCAGUUAUGAAGAGUUACACAUCCUCUCACCCCACAUGUUGUAAGAACACAUAGCAUUGGCCAGUGGGGCGAAUGAUUUCUAGUCUCUGAUGAGGCCGGAACUCUCCAGCAAGUGGGCCUGUGACUCAGAAACCCCGGGCAACUUUGAGGUCCCUUUGAGGAAAUGAAACUUCAUCAGAAGCAGCCGAUAUUAAUGAUAUAUUGAGCAUCUAUUGUGUACAUCCAGUCUUCUAGUCUCCUUGGUGACAUUCAUCUUAUUUUACCUUCCCAGUAAAUCAGCAAAAUAAGUACCAUUACCCUCUUUUAUGGAAUAAAACUAAAACUCACAGAGGUUGAGUAACUUUUGAAUCACUCAACCUUCUCAAUGCAUGAAGAAAAAAUCUGACCCAAACAAGAGACAUUGGAGAGGCUUAUUCUUCUUUUUUCAACUUUUUUAACACCAAUAGAAAACGAAGACAGCUGUUCAGCAGAUAUAGCAAGAGGGAGGCUGAGAGGUCUUUCAUCAGGAGGCAUGGUGUGAGCUCGAGGUGAGCUUUUGAUUGCCGUCCACCAGUGCUGUUUGCUGCCGUCGCAGACCCACCGCUGACUUCCAUCCCUCUGGAUCUGGCAGGGUGUCCGCUGUGCUCCUGAUCCAGCGAGGUGCCCAUUGCUGCUCCUGAUCGGGAUAAAGGCUUGCCAUUGUUCCUGCAAGGCUAAGUGCCUGGGUUCGUCCUAAUCGAGCUGAACACUAGUCACUGGGUUCCAUGGUUCUCUUCCGUGACCCAUGGCUUCUAAUAGAGCUAUAACACUCACCGCAUGGCCCAAGAUUCCAUUCCUUGGAAUCCGGGAGGCCAAGAACCCCAGGUCAGAGAACACGAGGCUUGCCACCAUCUUGGAAGUGGACCACCACCAUUUUGGAAGCAGCCCGCCACCAUGUUGGGAGCCCUGGGAGCAAGGACCCCCUGGUAACAUUAGCAUUUGCCUUAACUUUGGGCACUAGAUUAACAUCUCUGGGCUAGAGAGUGGCAGUACGGCUGACAGGCACAGGCACUCUGCCAGGUGAGGUUAGCUGUGAACACAGCAAGGCCCUGAGGAGGGGCAUGGCAGUCUCCUGCCAUCCUGAUGGCUGCCCAUAGAAGAGACUAGGUGUGCCAGAGGCUGACAAGUCUGUCUGCCAAGGCAGACUCACACUAGACAGACUCUUUCUUGACUCUAGAGAGCAAACAGGUUGUUUCCUGAGGUUAUAAAAAUAUAGGGGUAUGGGCCACCUAGGUAGGGAGAAGCAUUUCUUGUUUGCCCUGAAACAAAGAGAUUUAGACUCUAGGGGAGGGAUUGUCUGAGACCUGAAAGGCUGGAAAUUGAAAUGUCUGCUCAGCCCAUAGAAUGCCCUGCAUCAAGGCUUUGAGGCCACCCGCUAUGGACUUUCAAUGUGUGACUUUACCGUGAUAUGAUUAUGCAGGUAUUCAUUUCAUAUUUUUCACCCAAAAUCAAAGCCAUAAUGAGAAAAAAGUUCUUAUAAUCAUUUCUGUGUAUUUUGGUAACAAAGGAAAUGGCUGUUGAUUAUGAUAAUAAAAAAACUGCUCUUCAAAAACUGGC